UGCUUCUACUCUUGUCAGCUUGUUGGUCAGUGUCAGGGCCUGAGGGGCUGGCCCACCUCAUCUACCAUGUUAAGGAUGUAAGUAGCGAUAUCAUCCUCUGUAGGUGCAUCUGAAACCACCCAAGAAUCACCUGCCCCAGUUACUUGGCGACGGCAGACAGGACAGCUCCUGUGACGAUCACUCCAUUUAUCAAUGCACUUCUGGCAGAAACUGUGAGCGCACGGCAAGAUCAAAUCAACACGUCCAUCCAUGCAAAUGCAACAUUCAUCUUCAUCUGUUGGCUGUUUAAGCCUUCCCAUCCACAAGCUGGCCUGGGAUGACGACACAGAUGUCAAACUCUCAGCAGCUUCUUCAGAAGUCUCACUUUGUGCAAGAACCCC
rnacentral:lncRNA from 1 species